rfam:Myotis brandtii contig186162, whole genome shotgun sequence.
GGUAGUUCUCCGGUGAUGCACCCUGGAAUCGGGCUCCCUCUUCUCUGGUUCCAGGGCAUGUCACCCAAGAACCGCA